rnacentral:lncRNA from 1 species
UAGUUAGAAUGAUGAAAGUAGAGGAACAGUAUCUGCUUACCUAAAACCUUGUUGCAGGAGGUCAUCUAGAGGACAUGAAAGCAGGUUCACCUGUGAGCUGGAUCGACCAAUCUUGGGACCCUGGCUACUGGACGCUCCUUACCUGCCUCCCGCGUCCUGGGAAUGUAAGCUCCUCCCACCAUUCCCACAGGGGAGCCUCUUCAAGGAGCAGCCUUGAGAGAGCACGUGUUAUUGAGACCAUCUGGACUACAUUCGUGACUGAACCCCGUCUAGACCUCUAUGUAAACUAUAAGAUUCUGGCGUGCAAUGCGGAGAUCCACUCAUCUUGCGGUUGUUGAAGACAGGCUUGGAGGCAUUGAAACAGAAAUGGAACCAAAUCCUGUCCUUGAGUAUCUUCCAAGAUAUGCAUUGAAACAGAAAUGGAACCAAAUCCUGUCCUUGAGUAUCUUCCAAGAUAUUGUAAUUCAUUUUCAAGUGGAACUUGUUUUCGAUGGAGGGAUAUGCUGUAGAGAGCCUUGGUGUCUUUCUUCGGUUUGCACAGUCCAGCAGAAAUUACUGAAAUUGGUGGAUUGUGAAGAGCAUCUGCAGGAGUUCCCUACCAGAAUAUUCUUUAGUAAUUUGCAUUGUUGUUUGGAAGCACAAAAGUUAGACAUGUGGGCAAACUUUUAAGGACUGUUUACAGU